CAGAUCUAACAUAUUCGACUGUAUUUACGACGUGACACAGGAGAUUAUACUAUUUUUAAACGGAAAGUGAAUCAAUUAAUAUAAUAGACUCCU
rnacentral:pre_miRNA from 1 species